rnacentral:rRNA from 1 species
UACAGAGGGGGCAGGCGUUGUUCGGAAUUACUGGGCGUAAAGGGCGCGUAGGCGGCCUGUUAAGUCGAACGUGAAAUCCCCGGGCUCAACCCGGGAACUGCGUCCGAUACUGGCAGGCUUGAAUUCGGGAGAGGGAUGUGGAAUUCCAGGUGUAGCGGUGAAAUGCGUAGAUAUCUGGAGGAACACCGGUGGCGAAGGCGGCAUCCUGGACCGAUAUUGACGCUGAUGCGCGAAAGCCAGGGGAGCAGACGGG